UUUUUUUUUUUUUUUCAGGGCUGUACCUGUAGCAUGUGGGAGUUCCCAGGCUAGGGCUCUAAUUAGAGCUACAGCUGUCAUCCUGCAGCACAGCCACAGCAACACAGGAUCUCAGCUGCAUCUGCUACCUACACCAGAGGUCACUGGCAACAGCAGGUCCUUAACCCACUAAGUGGGGCCAGGGAUCGAACCCACAUCCUCAUGGAUUCUAGUCAGGUUGUUUCUGCUGAGCCACAAGGAGAACUCCAAAUAUCUUUUACUCAAGUACCUAUGUGGGUCAACAAUGAUUCAGGAACCAUGUAUAAUUCACAAGACAUUGAUGGGGAUAGCUGCUCUGUCUUCAACUUUACACAUUUUUCUAUAAAGCCUGAUCUGAGUUACAUCUAUGACCGACACCACAGCUCACGGCAACGCUGGAUCCUUUAUCCACUGAGUGGGGCCAGGGAAGGAACCAGCAUCCUCAUGGAUACUAGUUGGGUUCUUAAUCUACUGAGCCAUAAUGAGAACUCCCUUUUUACAUUUCUUUUGUAAGGCAUAUAGUAGAUACAAAUAAAAAUCACUUUCUUUUUUUUUUGCAAACAGUUACAUUUAUUUAUUUAUUUUUUUUUUUUUUUUUUUUUUUGUCUUUUUGCUAUUUCUUUGGGCCGCUCUCACGGCAUAUGGAGGUUCCCAGUUCGGCCUUAAAAAAGACCAAAAAAAAAAAAAAAGAGCUUUAUAUCUACUACUUCAUUUUAUCAUCACAUUAUUGUCAUUUUGUAGGUGAUUAAUUUGAGAGAAGUUAAAUGACUUGCCUGAGAAGAUUUAGUUAAAAAUAGUGAGACAGAAUCUGAACUCAGGUCCCCUGACACUGAAGAAUAUACUGUAAACCUUUAUGCUACAAUGCUUCAAAGAACUAUGGAAAUACAAAGACCCAAGUGGGGGUAAGAAAAUCAGUUGGGGGGGGGGAUGAGAAAGGAGACUUCAUAGAUCCUUCACUUACACUAGGUCAGUAAAAGAAUAAAGUGGUAAAGACCUGGACAGUUUCAUUAAAAAUUAUUUAAAAAGGGAAGUUAGUUUGCUGAAGUAAACACUGAAAUUGCCCUAUAUUGAUUUGGCUAUCCGAAGAAAUAAUCAUAAAGACAUUCACAAAUAAUGAUGAACACUUUCACUGUUCCCAUUGAAGAGCAAAAUAAGAGGUCAAACUGAAGCAAAGCAGGAACAUCCCAUAUUUUGAAAACUGACAGAAAACAGGAGUUCCCGCUAUGGCUCAGGGGGUUAAGAACACAACAUGGUCUCCAAGAGGAUGCAGGUUUGAUCCCUGACCUCGCUCAGUGGGUUAAGGAUCCAGUGUUGCUGCAAGCUGUGGCCUAAGUCACAGACGCAGCAUAGAUCUGGCAUUGCUAUGGCUCUGAUGAGCAGCUGCAUCUCCGAUUUGACCCCUAGUGCUAGAACUUCCACAUGCUGAAGGUCCAGCCAUCAAAAGAAAAAAAAAAUUGUUAGAAAACAAACAUUUGCGAUCAAGAAAACAUGGAGAAGAAGCCCCUCAGAGCUGAAUUCUGGGCUUGUACAGGUGGGCUUACAACCUAACAGAUGAGCAUCUAGGUGCCCUGCUUUGACACCACCUAGGAGGCCACAUACCAGUGAGGAGAGGAGGUAGAACACACACCAGACCAACCUCAAUGAAGGCACAUUUUAACAAAUUAGCCCAUGUUCUUAAUAACCAGAUGAAAGCAACUUCAUUAAUUACUAUACUUCUAAUUACUAUAUUUCUAUACUCCUUUGGCCUCACAGCAACCCUGUGAGGUAUGAGAUUUUAAAGAAUUCCUGUUUUACAGACAAAAGGUCAACAGAAGUUAAAGCAUGAAGCUACUUAACAAUGAAAGAACCGGAAUGCAUUUGUUGCUCUAAUUUUUUUCAAUCGAAGUUAUAUAUCCUGUGCCUCGUGCCCUCAAAAUCAUGUUCUCAACUCAAUAAGCAAAACUUAAGAGUUUACUAUACAUCAAUCACUAUGAUUGAUAACUGUUUAUGGGCAAAAAAAAUAGAGAACAUGUGCUCCUAUCCCUAAGGAACUCCCUGUUUGAGUGUCUCUACUAGAGAAUUACAAAAUAAAUCCUUUAAAAUAUGAUCAUAAUAAUGCUGUGCUUCUCAAACUAGUGUAAUUCCAGGAACAAGUUAAGCUCCUUGGGACAAAAGGAGUUCCAUGGUGAAAAAGGAUUGAAAAACA
rnacentral:lncRNA from 1 species